rnacentral:rRNA from 1 species
AACUUUCAACAACGGAUCUCUUGGUUCUGGCAUCGAUGAAGAACGCAGCGAAAUGCGAUAAGUAAUGUGAAUUGCAGAAUUCAGUGAAUCAUCGAAUCUUUGAACGCACAUUGCGCCCCUUGGUAUUCCGGGGGGCAUGCCUGUUCGAGCGUCAUUACAACCCUCAA